UAUUAGGAGUUUGAUCCUGGCUCAGGACGAACGCUGGCGGCGUGCCUAAUACAUGCAAGUCGAACGCUUCUUUUUCCACCGGAGCUUGCUCCACCGGAAAAAGAAGAGUGGCGAACGGGUGAGUAACACGUGGGUAACCUGCCCAUCAGAAGGGGAUAACACUUGGAAACAGGUGCUAAUACCGUAUAACAAUCAAAACCGCAUGGUUUUGAUUUGAAAGGCGCUUUCGGGUGUCGCUGAUGGAUGGACCCGCGGUGCAUUAGCUAGUUGGUGAGGUAACGGCUCACCAAGGCCACGAUGCAUAGCCGACCUGAGAGGGUGAUCGGCCACAUUGGGACUGAGACACGGCCCAAACUCCUACGGGAGGCAGCAGUAGGGAAUCUUCGGCAAUGGACGAAAGUCUGACCGAGCAAAGCCGCGUGAGUGAAGAAGGUUUUCGGAUCGUAAAACUUAUGUUUAGAGAAGAACAAGGAUGAGAGUAACUGUUCAUCCCUUGACGGUAUCCAACCCC
rnacentral:rRNA from 1 species